UGAGUAAUUUACAGUUUGUAAUUAACUAGAAAGCCAACGUGCCACUGUACCAAUAAAACAAAAAUAUUUUACUGGCGUUGGCAUCUGUUGGCGCGCUAGUUCCUCACUGGCUUUGCCAUGAACUGCCAGGGAAGGUUUACACGUUACCAGUCACUGGCAUUCAGAAACUGGAAACAUCGACUGGUACGCCGGCUGGCACCGUAUAAAUCGGCCCUUAGUAAUAGAUAUACUAUUUAACGUUAGUAAUUAGUAAAUAUC